GACGAACCGUCCUAACGUUGUUCGGAAUCACUGGGCUUAAAGGGCGCGUAGGCGGGUCAGCAAGUCUAGGGUGAAAUCUUUCGGCUCAACCGGAAAACUGCCUUGGAUACUGCUGAUCUCGAGGGAGGUAGGGGUCUGUGGAACUUCUGGUGGAGCGGUGAAAUGCGUUGAUAUCAGAAGGAACGCCGGUGGCGAAAGCGACGGACGGGACCUCUUCUGACGAUGAGGCGCGAAAGAUAGGGGAGCAAACGGG
rnacentral:rRNA from 1 species